rnacentral:miRNA from 1 species
CUUUUGGUUAAGUAGCUUUAUG